rnacentral:lncRNA from 1 species
UAAUAUUGAAUGUCAAACCGAAUGGUCACAAAAGGUAGAUAAUGGACAGCUUCUAGAUGGUGUUAACUCAGCUGAAAACAUUCAUGGAACGUCUUCAAUGCUUGGCUGACCAUUGAGCUACACGAACAGCCUUGAAAGGUGUCUUUGAUGCGCACGAGGAGCCUUGAAUUGAAAAAGGUAUGCCAGGUUCGGCCAUGGCAUCUUCCAAGGAGCUUUGAAGAGUGAAACGGCAGCCCUUAAAUGCAUGUCUCCUUUGAAGAAUCCUAGACCUUGGGGACGGCAAUGGCAUCAACAAUCUUUAAUGUCCUUCAAUAAUCAGCCUUGGAAAUUCGGAUGGCCAGCAGCAGCUUUAAAUGACGUCUUGAGCACACAAAUAGCUCCUAAAUACUUUCAAUCAACUUAAAUGAGCUGGACUAAAUUUGCAAGUCCUUUGGUGUGUUCAAGACAGCAAUAAGCAUCAGCUUUGGAACCUGAAAACAGCCUUUAAUGCUCCUUGGAAGCAUGAAACGUUCAGCCAUGAAUAAUUAAGCAAUAUACAUGCUUUGGCCGAAUGGUCACUUGGAAAUCCCCCAAACAACAGCUCUUUGCUGUACCCAAAGCAAUACCAGCCUUAAUGCUAUUCAAUAACGUCCCCCCUUGCAUGUUUUCAUUAAUGCCGUCCAUGCAUGGGAACAUCUCAUUAAAUCCAUGUCUUUGCUUCCCUUUAAAUGCCGUUCCAUGCAUGGGAACAUCUCCUUAAUUCGUGGCUUUGCUGCACAUUAAAUCAGCAAGCAGCUUCUUUAAUUUCGUCCAUUAAAUGGCCACAUGAAAAAGCACAAGCAACUCCUUUAAUGCCGUCCAUGUACCUGCAUGCAUUGAAUCAGCCUUUAAAUCACGUUUUAGACAAAUUAAAAUGGUCAAUCAGACAUAUUAAAUUCGGCAGCCACAAUUAACUUCAACUGGACACCAUUUAAAACAUGCAUUAAAUUCGGCCAGAAACAUACAUUAAAUUCGGCCAAAGACAUACAUUAAAUUCGUCUGGAAAAUUAAUUGAAAACAUGAAUUAAAUUUGUCUUAAAUUUAGACACACUUAAUUAACUAUUAGACAUCUAUUUAAUAAGUAAUAAACUAAGACACUUUAAAACCUGUAUUAAAUAGAACACAUUAAAUAGGCUUAAGACAAAUUAAAGCAUGCAUUAAAAAAAACAAAUAAAACAUAUUUAACAUGGAAAUUAAUAUGUCCAAAUUUUUAAACAAAUUAAUUAACUUAUUUAAUUAACUAAUUUAACUAACAGCAACUUAUUUAUUCCAGCAAAAUAAAUGCAAACUUAAUUAAAUAAAUUGCAUUCUAGCUCAAUAAGAUAGAAUCCACCCGAAUUGAACUGGGACGAGCUUGUGAAAAUGACGAGCCUCGCUUGUGAACUGAGCCAAUGACAUUUCCGGGGCGUGGCUGUAUCAUCCCCCUUCUUCGAAGCGACUUGUCCUCAAGUCGAGUUGUUGAUUCUCCCAGUUAGAACUCAUCUUACUCGACUUUCCUCGAUCGAAUGGGACUAACGGCAAUCGAGACCUUUGAAAAAAAUAACCAUGAUUUAGGAAAAAGUAGUGCAAACAUAUUUGCAAUCCGAGUACAACAAGACCAAUGUAAUGCAUGCAAUUGGAAAGAUUCAGAUUACCAUGCAAGCGAACUAGUUUACUCGACAAGGCCAUGAAAAAUGUUCGAAACAAAAUCGAAUAGAUUUCUGAGCAUGCAUACAUCUUAAAUUGAUUACACAAGCAAUAAUUGGAUCCCGAGUAGUGAGUCAAAAUAUGUACAUAGGCAUCACAAACAGGUAAUGAAAAAGAUUUACAUGGUUCUCGAAGUUGCAAAAUCAUACCUUGCAUUAGACGAUUGACUAUCGAUUCUAUUACAAUUACAUCAACACAAUUAUCAAAAACAAGAAUCUUUUUGUCACCAAUAAAAAUAGAUAGAUCGUGUUCAAUUGAGGCAAAACAAUUAACCAUAUCAUAAUCAACAUAUCUUUCAAAAACCAAUUCACGAACAAGAUUGUUAUUACCAUCUGAGGAGAACAAAAAUAUUUCAGAAAUUUCAGGAGGCUUACCUUUAGGAGCAAGAAAAUAAAGUUCAUUUUUACCUCGUUCGCUUAACAAAAACCUUCGCUCCUCGGUGAUGUAGAGUAGUUGAAGUUCCUUGCUUGAAUUAACCUUUUCAAAAUGGAUCUCCAUACUCGACAAUAGAACAUGCAUCAUAAUCAAAUUGGAAUUAUAAUCAAAGUACAUCGAGAACUCAUCCAAAUGAUCAUGUAAUCGAAGUUUCAUUCGGUCAAUUUUACUCAAAAAUGCAAAAUUUGGAUAACAAAGCAAAUUUGAGACAUCAUCUUCAACUUUAAGUGCACUAACCAUUUUACAUGUCAUCGUCAUAUCAAACAAACAAAUCAAAGACAUGCAUGUUUUCAAGCAUUCAUACGUCUCAAAUCUCAUACACACAUUCUUGUUUAUACAAAGUAAUUUCUCAUAAAAGAUCAAUGAGCAAUUUCCAAAAGCGUUAUUCUUCUUGCCAUCAUUCCACACAAAUCUAUUAUCAUCAAUCAAAGGAUGGCAAGUAACCACAUCAAAGUUCAUAUCACUUCUAAAGGAUAAUUCAUCAACAAGGUUUCCAUCAACAAUCGAAUAAGGCAGAAGUGCUUUAAGAAUUUCAAAACUCAUACCUUGCUCCUCUUUUGGCUUAGACGAACUAAGAUCGUUGAGAAUGUUACCUUUUUCAACCAAGGUGAACCUUCUCUCCUUCAAAAGGUAUUGAAGUUGAAGCUUGUCAAUCGAUUCCUUGGAAACUUGGAAAGAAGAAAAUCUACACGGCAAACUUCCAAAUGGGUUAGUUAGAACAUUCCUCACUUUUUCUUGUUCUCUUUCGUCUCUUUCACUAUUUUCUUUUGCAAACUCUUUUUCUUUUUCACUCGAUUUCUUUUCAAGCUCGCUUUCAAUUUCUUUUUUUACUCUUUCUUUUUCCAUAGAAAACUCAUCUAUUCUCGUUUCUUUUUCAAUGACUCUUGUUUCUUGCAUACUUUCUUUCCUUUCUUCAAUCUCACUCUCUUUUUCAAUUUUCUUUUCAAUUUUCUUUUCUAUCUCACACUCAUCUUCUUUUUCUUUCAUUUCCUUUUCUUUUUCAUUUUCUCGCUCGCAUUCUUUUUCUUUUUCACAUGAUGUUUCGAUUUUAUUACAAAAGUAUAAAUCAUCAACAUGAUAAGCCUUUCGUUGAGAAUAAGAAAAUGUUUCUUCAUACAAAAGAGGAUCAUCUCUUUGUGAUUGAUCUUCCGUAUACGAGUACUUUGACACUCUUGAAACACGUUCGCCUCUUCGUAAAUAAUCCUUCGUAGAUGAAUAAAUUGAGGCACUUGUAGAGACAUGUUUACCUUUUCAUUUAUCAUCUCGAAAGGACUCAAACUCAGAGUUUGCUUCUCUUGGUCUCGAACGCCUUGUUGAAUAAACGUCUUGAUAAGAGUCUCUUGUCGAGUAGUGUCGUCGGGAUGAUCUUAACUCCGUCUCUUGACUCGAUGAAAUUUGCUUUUGUUGGGCUCUUGUCUCUAUUCGAUCCAAUCGAUUAUGCAAUUUAUCAAAUUUUGAUUUCACUAUUCUACGCACUUCUUGCAUCAAAUAUUGGAAUUCUGAUUCGGAAAAUUCUUCUUGAGACAUUUUUUUUGUUAAAAAGAAUAAGUGUUUAAAAUAGAAAGUAAAUACCUCACCACAAAACCUCGCAAGUCACUCGGAAAGAAAAUUUUCACUCCACUCGUGUUUACGCUCGCUUUUGGCUUUUCUUCUCUCGAAUGAACUCACACCAAUCACUCUUGCCUUUUUCCACUCGAUUUUUCGCCUCUCAAAGUUCUUCGCAAACUAAAUUGAUGAAUCAAUACCGUUUGGCGUCGGCUUAAAAAUUGUUUUGGCUUGGUGGGUAAUGAUGUCGAAAAUGGUAGGCUAUCAAACAAACUAGAAAUGGUUAAGUGUGGCUAGAUAGAUAUGGUCCUUCAGGCAACAAGCAAUGCUUUUACAAACUCAAAAUGAAUUUCAAUCACUCUUUUUUUUUUCAAUUUCAAAUUUUUUUUUCUUCUUUUUUUUAAUUCUGAUUUUUUUCUUUUUUUUCUUCAAUACUAAAUAUAAAAAGUAAAAACAAAUUGAAUACAAAAUUUUUUUUGAAUUUUUUUUUCAAAAUUUUUUUUUGAUUUUUUUGUUCAAUUUUUUUUACAAUACCGUAAUGACAAAAAUGUCGAUCUUACUUCGAUUCAGCUAUCUCUGAUACCAAAUGAUGCGACCCCUGCCUCGUUGAUGAAUCCGAGUCGUAUGGUUGCCCAAUCGUGAAUUGGAGUAAUUUGAAAGCUUAACAAAAUAGGCUAGAAGAAAAUGAUUAUUUAGGCUCAAAAGAGUUUUGUUGGUUUAGGAAAUGAAUUAGAAGACAAUGGAUGUAAUUUGGCUAAGGAUUCAAAAGCUGAACUAACACAAUAGUAGUGUGUUAACCAGUAACUUAUGAGAAUGCUUAGGUUGGUAAGGUGUCGAUGGAAGGUUUGUUAAGUGGAUAGAAACUUCGACCCGCUAUCAAAAAUGAUAGGAACCUCAGUACGAAUCGAACACCACACUUUUGGGAUUAAAGUGAUAAGUUCAGAUAGAAAGACGGUUGACGCCACAAGGGUUACUUGAUAAGUCAGACGAGUCUUUGGAGAACAAUGAGAGUUGAAAACAAACUCACAAAGUAAACAAAUUUCAUAUAAGUUUUAAAAAUAUAUUGUCUAACCAAAAAAAUGAUUACAAAACAACUAUUUAUACUAAUAUUGAAUGUCAAACCGAAUGGUCACAAAAGGUAGAUAAAUGGACAGCUUCUAGAUGGUGUUAACUCAGCUGAAAACAUUCAUGGAACGUCUUCAAUGCUUGGCUGACCAUUGAGCUACACGAACAGCCUUGAAAGGUGUCUUUGAUGCGCACGAGGAGCCUUGAAUUGAAAAAGGUAUGCCAGGUUCGGCCAUGGCGUCUUCCAAGGAGCUUUGAAGAGUGAAACGGCAGCCCUUAAAUGCAUGUCUCCUUUGAAGAAUCCUAGACCUUGGGGACGGUAAUGGCAUCAACAAUCUUUAAUGUCCUUCAAUAAUCAGCCUUGGAAAUUAGGAUGGCCAGCAGCAGCUUUAAAUGACGUCUUGAGCACACAAAUAGCUCCUAAAUACUUUCAAUCAACUUAAAUGAGCUGGACUAAAUUUGCAAGUCCUUUGGUGUGUUCAAGAUACCAAUAAGCAUCAGCUUUGGAACCUGAAAAUGACCUUUAAUGCUCCUUGGAAGCAUGAAACGUUCAGCCUUGAAUAAUUAAGCAAUAUACAUGCUUUGGCCGAAUGGUCACUUGGAAAUCCCCCAAACAACAGCUCUUUGCUGUACCCAAAGCAAUACCAGCCUUAAUGCUAUUCAAUAACGUCCCCCUUGCAUGUUUUCAUUAAUGCCGUCCAUGCAUGGGAACAUCUCAUUAAAUCCAUGUCUUUGCUUCCCUUUAAAUGCCGUUCCAUGCAUGGGAACAUCUCCUUAAUUCGUGGCUUUGCUGCACAUUAAAUCAGCAAGCAGCUUCUUUAAUUUCGUCCAUUAAAUGGC